UACGGGGGGGGCAAGCGUUGUUCGGAAUUACUGGGCGUAAAGGGCUCGUAGGCGGCCAACUAAGUCGGAUGUGAAAUCCCCAGGCUUAACCUGGGAACUGCAUCCGAUACUGGAUGGCUUGAAUCCGGGAGAGGGAUGCAGAAUUCCAGGUGUAGCGGUGAAAUGCGUAGAGAUCUGGAGGAAUACCGGUGGCGAAGGCGGCCCCCUGGACAAAGACUGACGCUCAGGUGCGAAAGCGUGGGGAGCAAACAGG
rnacentral:rRNA from 1 species